rnacentral:lncRNA from 1 species
AAGAAAUGGAUGUAAAAUUUACACUCUUGGGCUGCGUUUGGUUCGGGUAUAAGUAAGAAUUGCUAGUUCCAGGGAUAGGUACAAGUUCAGGUAUAAGCAGGAACUAGACCAAUUUUCCGUUUGGAUGAAAAUUGGGUUGUUCCUAGGGAUAAGAUAAAUAGUAUUUAAAUGGUUAGAUUGGAACAAGAGGAAUAAAAGUUAUAAUUUGAAAUUAAAUUUGUAUUAUGUAAUUAAUUAACAUCAAAAUAUUACUUAAAAAUAAAUAAUAAUUUAAUUAUUAAUAUUUAAUUAUAAAUAAUAAAUUAAUAAUAUUGAAUACCUAAUUAAUUAUAAUAAUAAUUGAUAAUUAUUAAUAAAAAAUAAUAAUUAUUAAUUAUUAUUAUUAAUUAAUUAUUAAUAAUAAAUUAAUAAUAAUAUCGAUUAUCUAAUUUUUAUUAAUAAUAACAUUGAUUAUCUAAUUAUUAUAAUUAUUAUUAAUAUUUAUUAAUAAUAAAUUAGGAAUAAUAAAUUAAUAUAAUUAUUAUCUAGUUAUUAAUAAUUAAUUAUAAAUAAUAAAUUAAUAAUAAUAUCGAUUAUCUAAAUUAUUAAGGAUAAUAAUUAUUAAUAAUUAUUAAUAAAUAAUAAUAAUUAUUAUUAAUUAUCAUUAAUUAAUUAUAAAUAAUAAAUUAAUAAUAAUAGCGAUUGUCUAAUUAAUAAUUAUUAAUAAUUAAUUAUAAAUAAUAAAUUAUUAAUACAAUCGAUUAUCUAAUUAUUAAGGAUAGUAAUUAUUAAUAAAUAAUAAUAAAUAUUAUUAAUUAUUAAUUAUUAAUAAUUAAUUAUCACUAAUAAAUUAAUUAUAAUAAUUAUCUAAUUAUUAUUAAUUAAUUACAAAUAAUAAAUUAAUUAAUUACUUAAUUAUUAAAGUAAUAAAUAAUAAUUUAAAUAUAUUAAUUAGAUUAAUUAAUAAUUUACUAUCAUUAAAAUUAAAUUUAGAUUUUAAUUAAUCUUGUUCUCAUCAAGGAACAAGCUUGUUCCAGUAAAAAGGUGGAACAGCAGUUCCAGCCUUAUACCGGCUUGUUCUUGAAAUCCUGGAACUACUAUUCCCGGGCAACAAAUAUUGCGUUUGGGAACAAAGGAGGGAA